rnacentral:rRNA from 1 species
CGCGGCCUAUCAGCUUGUUGGUGGGGUAAUGGCCUACCAAGGCAACGACGGGUAGCUGGUCUGAGAGGAUGUCCAGCCACACUGGGACUGAGACACGGCCCAGACUCCUACGGGAGGCAGCAGUGGGGAAUCUUGCACAAUGGGCGAAAGCCUGAUGCAGCGACGCCGCGUGCGGGAUGAAGGCCCUCGGGUCGUAAACCGCUUUCAGCAGGGACGAUAGUGACGGUACCUGCAGAAGAAGCCCCGGCCAACUACGUGCCAGCAGCCGCGGUAAUACGUAGGGGGCAAGCGUUGUCCGGAUUUAUUGGGCGUAAAGAGCUCGUAGGCGGUUCGAUAAGUCGGGUGUGAAAUCUCCAGGCUCAACCUGGAGGCGCCACUCGAUACUGUCGUGACUUGAGUUCGGUAGAGGAGUAUGGAAUUCCCGGUGUAGCGGUGAAAUGCGCAGAUAUCGGGAGGAACACCCGUAGCGAAGGCGGUACUCUGGGCCGAAACUGACGCUGAGGAGCGAAAGCGUGGGGAGCGAACAGGAUUAGAUACCCUGGUAGUCCACGCCGUAAACGUUGGGCACUAGGUGUGGGGAUCUAUCGACGGUUUCCGUGCCGUAGCUAACGCAUUAAGUGCCCCGCCUGGGGAGUCC